CUUAAGAAAAUAAAAGUUUUGAGACGGCUUGAAUGGGUAAUGAAAAAAUGUCGUACAGUUAUAAUAAAGUUUUUUCGUUACCCAGUCAAGUCGUCUCAAAACUCUUAUUAAGUAAUUAGGUAGUUUGAAUUACUAAACGACCAAGAAACCUGGCGGAUCAUUGAGAGUGAGAGAGGGAAACAGUGCAACAGUGUAGAAUUUCUUUAUUGAUUCUUUUUUCUUCAACGAUUAUGUUGGCUUCUUUUCUUCACCAAAUUCUAGCAAGAACAGUAUCCAAGAGGACCUGUGUGUUCUAGGAGCUGAUUCUUGUCAAUGGAGUAGUGCUAAUUUUGAGGUCUCUGGUGAUCCAUUCUAUCGAAUUAAAAAAAUUAAGAAUCCAGGAAUAAAUAGAUUGACAGACCUCGGUAAUCAGAUGUCAACUUUAGGUCUGAGCUUCGGUUGGAGGAUGAGUAGGAAGCAACAAAAGAAGGUGAAACUGUUCCAUCAUCCUCAUCUUCACUAAUUUUUGGAUCCCAGUGCUAUGUCGAGACACCUGUAGCUCAACAACUUGCAAGUAUUGAUGGUUUAGACAGUCUUUACGAUGAAUAAAUUCCUUCUUCAAAGUAACACUUUGGGAGAAAAUCGUGGAGGACUGACCUACAAAUAUAGUUUAGAUAGAAGGAACUGUGUUUUAAGAGACUAUGAAGAUGAAAGGAAACUAUAUUGGAAGGCUUCCUCCAGAUGGUGUGAAAUGUUGUGAAAUAGAGAAGUUUCUGGAACUAAUUGAACACAAUAUCAGAAUCUCCUCUUCCUAUAGAACAUGAUGUGAUUUUUAUUUCCAGGUUUCAUGUGUUUACAGUUUCUGAAUCAAAUACAGUUGCUCAGAAUGCUCUUAUAAACAUUAAAACCUCUAAUUUUCAGCUGAGGCUUCCUCGACAUCCGAGUUAAAAUAAAAGAAGAUAUGAGAUUCCAA
rnacentral:misc_RNA from 1 species